GUGAAGCUGGAUUCGCUAGUAAUCGCGCAUCAGCCAUGGCGCGGUGAAUACGUUCCCGGGCCUUGUACACACCGCCCGUCAAGCCAUGGAAGCCGGGGGUGCCUGAAGUGUGCAGCCGCAAGGAGCGCCCUAAGGUAAAACCGGUGACUGGGGCUAAGUCGUAACAAGGUAAC
rnacentral:rRNA from 1 species